rnacentral:rRNA from 1 species
CAUUACAGAGUUCAUGCCCUAACGGGUAGACCUCCCACCCUUGUGUAUUUAUACUUUGUUGCUUUGGCGAGCUGCGAUGGGCUUAAUUGCCCAGAGCCCCGGGCUUCCCGGGAGUCGUUCGCCGGAGGAAAAAUAAAACCCUGAUAAUUAAUGUCGUCUGAGUACUAUAUAAUAGUUAGAACUUUCAACAACGGAUCUCUUGGUUCUGGCAUCGAUGAAGAACGCAGCGAAAUGCGAUAAGUAAUGUGAAUUGCAGAAUUCAGUGAAUCAUCGAAUCUUUGAACGCACAUUGCGCCCCUUGGUAUUCCAGGGGGCAUGCCUGUUCGAGCGUCAUUUCAACCCUCAAGCUCAGCUUGGUAUUGGGCAUCGUCGGUCACACGACGGGCCUUAAAAUCAGUGGCGGCGCCGUUGGGUCCUGAACGUAGUAAUAUAUUUCGUUACAGGUGCCCCGCGAGCUUCUGCCAUUAAACCCCCAAUUUUUUAUGGUUGACCUCGGAUCAGGUAGGGAUACCC